AUCCCAUGGUGAGGGCAUUUACGUAGUAACUCUUUGAAUCUUUCCCAUACCUCAUAUAGGGAUUCAUCAUCCAUUUGCUAAAAAGUGGUGAUCUCAUUCCGUAACCU
rfam:Gossypium hirsutum cultivar TM-1 chromosome 14, whole genome shotgun sequence